AUUGAACGCUGGCGGCAUGCCUUACACAUGCAAGUCGAACGGUAACGGGCCUUCGGGUGCCGACGAGUGGCGCACGGGUGAGUAAUACAUCGGAACGUGCCCGACCGUGGGGGAUAACGAGGCGAAAGCUUUGCUAAUACCGCAUACGAUCUACGGAUGAAAGCAGGGGACCGCAAGGCCUUGCGCGGACGGAGCGGCCGAUGGCAGAUUAGGUAGUUGGUGGGAUAAAAGCUUACCAAGCCGACGAUCUGUAGCUGGUCUGAGAGGAUGAUCAGCCACACUGGGACUGAGACACGGCCCAGACUCCUACGGGAGGCAGCAGUGGGGAAUUUUGGACAAUGGGCGCAAGCCUGAUCCAGCCAUGCCGCGUGCAGGAUGAAGGCCUUCGGGUUGUAAACUGCUUUUGUACGGAACGAAAAGCCUUCUUUUAAUACAGGAGGGUCAUGACGGUACCGUAAGAAUAAGCACCGGCUAACUACGUG
rnacentral:rRNA from 1 species